rnacentral:rRNA from 1 species
GACGAACGCUGGCGGCGUGCCUAAUACAUGCAAGUCGAGCGGAAAGGCCCUGCUCUUGUGGGGUGCUCGUGUGCCGAACGCGUGUGUAUCACGCGAGUAAACUCUCCUUGUCAUUGGGAGAACACCUGGAAACACGGGCUAUUAUCCCGUAUGAGAUCUUGCUGCACGGUGGGGGAUGGUGAGAUUCGGCGGUUGGGGCUGGACUCGCGGUUUAUCAGCUUGUUGGGGGGGUAGUGGGUUACCAAGGCUUCGACGGGUAGCCGGCCUGAGAGGGUGACCGGCCACAAUGGGCCUGGGGAACGGCCCAGACUGCUACGGGAGGCAGAGGUGGAAAAUAUUGCGCAAUGGGCGGAAGCCUGAUGCAACGACGCCGGGUGCGGAAUGACGGCCUUCGGGGUAUAAACCGCUUUGGCCUGUAACGAAGCGUGAGUGACGGUAAUGAGUAAGAAAGCAACGGCUAACUACGUG